AUUUGGUGAUUUUUUUGGCUUUUAAAUAUUCUUAAGAAUAUAUACUUUCUCUGCGAAGAAAAAACCUAAAAAAAAUUGGCUGGAGUCGUACAACUUGUUUCAGAGUCGCAUACUCGCAUCCAUGGAAAUACGAAGAAUAUAUUCGAAUGGAUUUUCAAUUUUCGGAGCAAGAGAUUGGAUUCUAAACUCAAGAUUCUUUCCCUGAAACUCGAAAGGCUUUAACCGUUUCAACAUGGUUGAACGGGGUUGGAGCUUUACCUAUUUCGGAUGAUGCUACUAAUUCACAAUCUCACUCUCAAGUUGAUUGAAAUUCCAUUCCACUCCCAUUUAUCUAUUUCUUUCUCAGUUAGUGUUGUUUUAAUAAUAAAUAUUUCUCUGUGAUUGAAUUGUACUUAUUGGCUGAAGAAUUUUGUGGGUUUGCAAAGUUUCUCUUAAAUUUCUCUGGUUGAAUGUGGAAUUUUAGUUGUGUUUGCUCUAUCUGAUAUAUUGUGAAUUCAUGAAUAUUACUUUGACAAGAGAAUUUAGAACCUGGUUUUGAGUUCGAUUAAUUAGUUUUCAAUUUCAUGUAUCUUUAAUAGAUAUUCGUUCUGUUUUGCUGUUUCUCCAACAAAAUCUUUAUAAUAUGAAGGUAAUAUGUCUAUGUAUGAAGUUAAUUAAAGUAUAUAUAUCUAUCUAUAUAUUUACAUAUAGAUCUUAGCUCAAAUGAUUCUUCUCACUUAUUCUCUUCCUUUAAAAACUUUUGAUUAAAAUCGCUGUGGCAAUUGCAAGUUGGGAGAGUUUUGUGGGUUCAUCCAUACUUGUCUGUCAUAGAAAUAAAAUUCUCACUUUAUGUAGGACCUAAUUUUUAUUUGAACUUCUGACAGUACUAAAUAUUUUUAUAUAUAUAUAUAAAAAAAAAUAUAAGCAGAGUGAUAAUUAGAGCCCCAUGGUUGCUUCAACUAUUUGAGUUCUUCUCAUGUUUCAUGUUAUUUUGUACAUAGCUUCCAUCUUGCUUAAUUCAAGAAUAGAAUUUUGACAUUGGACAAAAUGACAACAAAGAAAGGAAAGCACUCCCAGAAAAUCAGAACUAUGGAACAGGAUGGGAAGACCAUUAAACUUCAAAUUAUAAUGGGACACUGCUGGCCAAGAACGUUUCAGGACAAUCACCAACAGUUACUACCAUGGGGCUCAUGGCAUUAUUGUUGUCUAUGAUGUCACAGACCAAGAGAGCUUCAAUAAUGUCAAGCAAUGGUUGAUUACUUCGAAUAUGUUUUCAAGUGAAAGAAUGAGGAAGAAAAAACUUAAAGUUUUGUUCUCAUUGAGGUUGCUCUUCUACACAAUAGGCAUUCUGAUAUCCCUUUGGAGGUGGUGGUAAAAGAGCCAGUUAAGGAUGAUGAUAGAGUUGUUCUGCUGGAGGAAGGAAAGCUCCAGACAGCCUCUCCUAGAGCUCGGAUAUUGUCUUCGUCAUCUUCUAUUGUGAGGUGUGUUGAGGGAAUUUGUUUUUGAAAAUCUUGAGUGUGUGAACUGGUUAUCAUACUCUGUUAUUUUAUGUUGUUUGUAAAAAUUUGCAUUAAACAUCACAUUACUUUGGUUUUUCUUUGCUUGUUUUUCACUCCCUCUUAUUCAUACGUAAAGUUGAUUUCCAUCUUA